UACGGAGGGUGCAAACGUUGCCCGGAAUCAUUGGGCGUAAAGCGCGCGUAGGUGGCUUCGUAAGUCCGUUGUGAAAGUCAAAGGCUCAACCUUUGAAAGCCGAUGGAUACUGCGGAGCUAGAGUACGGAAGAGGCGAGUGGAAUUCCUGGUGUAGCGGUGGAAUGCGCAGAUAUCAGGAGGAACACCAAUAGCGAAGGCAGCUCGCUGGGACGUUACUGACACUAAGGCGCGAAAGCGUGGGGAGCGAACAGG
rnacentral:rRNA from 1 species